rnacentral:rRNA from 1 species
UACGUAGGGUGCGAGCGUUGUCCGGAAUGAUUGGGCGUAAAGCGUCCGCAGGUGGCAGUUCAAGUCUGCUGUCAAAGACCGGGGCUUAACUUCGGAAAGGCAGUGGAAACUGAACAGCUAGAGUAUGGUAGGGGCAGAGGGAAUUCCUGGUGUAGCGGUGAAAUGCGUAGAUAUCAGGAGGAACACCUGCGGUGUAGACGGCUUACUGGACCAUAACUGACGCUGAGGCACGAAAGCGUGGGUAGCAAACAGG